GAGUCUGGGCAGGUGACAGAUGACGACAUUGGUAAUAUAAGUCAGAAGGUCAGUACAAUUCUUAAUGAAGAAUUCUUGGCCAGCAAAGAUUAUGUUCCCAAAAGACGUGACUGGCUUUCUGCUUACUGGACGGGAUUCAAGUCACCUGAACAAAUUUCACGUGUUCGGAACACUGGGUAUUUUGGCUUCUUUGUCAAUUUCAACUUUCAUUUUGGUAUCUCUUACGUGUACUUGCUGAUGGAACUUGCAUGUUAUGCAGGGUUAAACCCGAGAUAUUGAAGAAUGUUGGCAAAGCAAUCACAACCCUCCCAGAUAAUUUUAAGCCUCAUAGAGCAGUGAAGAAGGUUUAUGAACAACGUGCGCAGAUGAUUGAGACAGGGGAGGGCCUUGACUGGGCUAUGGGUGAAGCACUUGCAUUUGCUACCUUGCUGGUGGAGGGUAACCAUGUUAGGUUGAGUGGUCAGGAUGUUGAAAGGGGUACAUUCAGUCAUCGGCAUUCUGUGAUUCACGAUCAGGAAACAGGGGAACAGUAUUGCCCUCUGGACCAUGUUAUCAUCAACCAAAAUGAGGAGAUGUUUACUGUCAGCAAUAGGUAACCCUUUUAAUGCUUUGGACUUUGUGCAAUAGCUAAUUUUUCAGUCCACCUAAUACGUGUUCUCUGAUAGUGACUGUACAAGAUGUGGUUAUGUAUUUGACUAAUUUGUCUUGGAAAUCCUUUAAGAGGAAGAGAAGCCAUCUAUAUUUUACAUUUUCAAGGAAAAUAGUAAAAAGUAAAAAAGGAAGAAAAAGACACCUUUAUUUGUGUAACUAUUUGAUAUUAAGGCUAAUUUGGAAUCUAUUUAUGUAGAUAUUCCAAAUUAAACAUCAAUUGUGCUCUGCAUUAUGGCUUAGCUUAUUGAGAACUUUUGCACUUGACUGCACCUUAUACUUGGAAUUUGGUUUCUAUGUGGUUCACUCUAUGCAAUGUGUACAAGUUCAGAAUUUUAAGUUGAUCUUUCACUUGCAAACUUACUGUUCUCUUCUUUAUGUGGCGAUAUUUUUGCUUCUCGUGCAAAUUUAUGUCCCUGCUGGAGAAUUGUUUGAUUGUGCAUUUUAGUUUUGUGUGGCAUUUUUACUUUUGAUCUUUUUGUUAAUUUUGGAUUCUUUUUCUGAGCAACAUGUGGUCUUUGAGUGCAGUUCUCUUUCUGAGUUUGGUGUGCUUGGAUUCGAAUUGGGUUACUCGAUGGAGAAUCCAAAUUCAUUGGUUAUGUGGGAAGCUCAGUUUGGUGACUUUGCUAAUGGUGCUCAAGUGAUAUUUGAUCAGUUUAUAAGUAGCGGGGAGGCAAAGUGGCUGCGUCAAACUGGUCUCGUUGUGCUGCUUCCCCAUGGUUAUGAUGGACAAGGCCCAGAACAUUCAAGUGCACGACUAGAGCGUUAUCUUCAGGUAUUCCCCAUGAAAUAGCAUGCAUUGUUCUUUGCAUCAUGAUUUAGCUUCAUCAUCCUUUAUUCAAAAUCAGGCUGUGCUCCCUAGCAUGUCAUUUUCACAUAAAAAUAAAAAAGGGGACUCAAUGGUGCAUUUAUGACUACAUCUUUAUAAAUUUUUGCAGAUGAGUGAUGACAAUCCUUUUGUGAUACCUGAGAUGGAUACAACUCUUCGUAAACAAAUUCAGGAGUGCAACUGGCAGGUGGUUAAUGUUACAACACCUGCUAAUUACUUCCAUGUUUUGCGGCGUCAGGUCAGUGCAACUAAAGGUUAUUAAUGAUGUUUCAGCUUCGGGGCUAGUCUUGCCAUUUCCUUAUCAGUCUUCUCUCCUAUUUCAGAUACACAGGGAAUUCCGUAAGCCUCUUAUCAUGAUGUCCCCCAAAAACUUACUUCGUCACAAGGACUGCAAAUCAAAUCUCUCUGAAUUUGAUGAUGUCCAAGGCCACCCUGGUUUUGAUAAACAAGGAACCAGAUUUAAGCGCCUUAUAAAAGAUCAGAAUAUACACUCCGACCUUGAGGAGGGUAUAAGACGCUUGGUACUUUGUUCCGGAAAGGUAUGCUAUGCCCUUGGUUUCCGCUUUUUUCCCCCUUGUAUGACUUUCAAAAGCUGUUUAAGUGUGGAGUUGUUUCUUGUAGAGUGAAGCAGACAACUAAGAUUCAUAAAUUGUGUUAUUUUAUUGGGUUUUAUGCAUAGUUCCCUGCAGGUUUAAUGGUUUUGUGUCGUUUUUAUACAAUAAUGAUACGCUAUCUGCUUUCAGGUCUACUAUGAGCUUGAUGAAGAGAGAAAGAAAAACAAUGCUACCGACGUUGCUAUCUGUCGUGUGGAACAGCUUUGCCCAUUCCCUUAUGACCUAAUCCAACGAGAGCUUAAGCGAUAUCCAAGUAUGUUGUCCAAUCUUAGACUAAAACUUGAUAUAUAGCAAUUCUAACUGAAUCUAAAGACGCAAUGUGAAACAUUGUCUUUUUGGGAAUUUAGUUGGGUUUGAAUGCUGAUUAAAAGCUUGCUGCUGAAAAAAUUUUGUUUGGUUUGUUAAAAAUGUAUAUUCAAUUUAGAUACUCGUCUCUCUCCAUCUCUCCCUCUUUUGUUUAUAAAGAAACUUGAUGUCCUAAUGUAUACUGAUAGGUUUAGUAAUUUUUCAUGUAUUGCGACCCUUUAUUUCUUUUCCUGCUUUUUUGUUUUUCCUGAAACUGAGACAUGAUUUUGGGUUUAUACUUUCAGACGCAGAGAUUGUUUGGUGCCAGGAAGAACCGAUGAACAUGGGUGCAUACAACUACAUCGCCCCUCGUCUUGCCACGGCAAUGACUGCUUUGGGUAGAGGAACCUUUGAUGAUGUCAGAUAUGUUGGCCGUGCUCCAUCUGCUUCCACUGCUACCGGCUUCUAUUCCAUGCAUGUGAAGGAACAAGCGGAGCUCGUGCAAAAGGCCAUUCAACCCGAACCGAUCAAGACCAAUACCACUAUCUGAAGCUUUGCGCAAAAUCAUUGUUGAAAAACUAUAGUAUUAAAGCAAUGCUCAAAAAUAACAUCCGGUGCAGAGCUGGAAAACUGUUAGGGUGUGUUAUUUUGAUGAGUCAUGUUUCCGCUAUUCCUUCUCUGCUAAGGCACCGAUAAAUGAAGGUGAACUGAUUAUCAUAAUUUUCAUUUGUAAUAUUUUUUGGUUUUUUUAAACCCUAACAGUAUAAACAAUGCACCGGUUCCUUUCAUAAUGCAGAAAUUAAACGACCUCUCAGGGCAAUUAUGGUUUCAUUUUCAUAUAUUCUGGAAAUAAGAUUUUACUCUUUUUUCCUCUAAAUUUUUUAAAACUCCUAUUGUCUGUAUUAAUUUUUAUGAUUUUUCAAGGAUUAAUGGUUAUAAAAAGCCUCAAAUUCUAAUUUUUCAAAUGAAAAAAAUAUAUAGAUAGUUGAUAUAAUCAUUUUUAAAAGUGGUACUAAAAGAUUGAGAUAAAAAUUUCACUACUACUUGAUGAGAUUAGAUGAAAACUGCACAAACACUCGUAAGGUUUAUUUAUUAACUAAACUUUAAAUUAAGAGAUAAAUUUAUCCUUUUGUUAAAUUUACCUUUUUAUCUUCACUUCUGUUUAAUAAUAUUCAAUUAAAAAUAAAAAAUCUAAUUAUUUAUAAAACUAUUAUUAUUAUUAUUAUUAUUAUUAUUAAAUUGCAUUAUAUUUUAAUAUAAAGAUAUAUUAAAACAUAGCAUAUUUUCAAUUAAUACUAAAUAAUGACAUGCUUACAAAACGGAUAAAAAAAAAAGAAUAAUAAUCUAUAAUCUAAAAUAUCUAUAAAAACACGAGUUCGGAAAAAAAAAAAACUAUUGUAGUGAUCAAUAUAUUGCAUUACUGAUUUCACAAUUUUAAAUGUUUUUUUUAUUAUUUAUAAAGUUUUAUCACAUUUAUAUAAAUAUAUAUACAUAUAUAAGAAUUUAACCUUAUUAAAAUAUUUGGUUAAUUAAAUUUAUUUAAUAAAAAAUAUUUAUCAUAAUUAUAAAUAAUAAUUUUAAUUAUUGUUAAAGGAUUUUUAAGUUUUAAAAAUAUAUAUUAAAUAAUUUAUAUAGUAACAUGUAAAAGGGUUAGAAUUUACAUCGAAUUAUUUUAUCUUUAAGCUAUUAUUGUUUCAUUAACCGGAAAAAGUAAAAAAAAAAAUUAUAUUUAAAUAUUGAAAUCUAAUUAUUUGUACAAUAACUUUGUAUUUCAUAUAUAUGAUUUUAUAAAUAAUAUAUUUAUAUAACUCAAUUAAUAUUUUAUUUAUAGCAAUUAUUAUUAUUAUCUACAAACUAUAUGGACAAUUUAUUGAUUAAAAAAUAAGAAAAAAUGGGAAUGGAAAUUAUAUUGCACAAACGCUGCUUAAUGCUUAAUGAUCAGGGAUUAUUUUGGAUUAUCAAAAUAAUUGAUUUAUUUUGAUUAUAUUGAUUAAUUAUUAUUUUAAUAAUAUAAUUUUGUAUUAACUACAUAUGUAAAAUUAUAUUGUUUAAUAAAUUACUAAACUUAAAUAUAAAAAAAAUCACGUGUAAUAUACGCGACAUUAGAAACUAAUAAAUAUAAAAACACGAGUUUGAUAAUUUUGUAAUAUGGGAUAUAUGCUUUAAUUAUAAUUUUGAAAACAUCUUUAUUAUAUUUGAAUUGUUAAACUUAUUAAAAUAUUUUAAUUAUGUUUAACCAUUGGAAUAAUAAAUUAAAAGAUAAUUAAAAAAACUAAUUAUGGCAAUGAAAUGAAUAAAAUAAUGUUCCAUGUGAGAUGAGAAAUUAAUAAAUGAAAAAAAAGAGAGAAAAGUAACUACAUAUUAUAAUUGUUCAAGAGAGAGAUAAAAUAGAUUAAUGAUUAAUGUUUGAAUGAAAAAAAAGUACGUAAGAAAAUUGCAUUUUGAAUAUAUUUUAAUAUUUCAUUAGUAAUACAUAAUAUUAUGUAAAUUUAAUUUUAAAAUAUUAUAAUUGAUAUUACAAUAAAUUUUAAAAAAAUAUAUUUUGAAUUUAUUUCUAAAAUAUAAAUAUUAUAAUAGUAGAUUGUGUGAAGUCUAUUUUUAUACAUAGUUUCAUGCUUAAUUUUAAUUAUAAAUUAGUGAAUGUAGAUUGAUAAUUAGAACUAAAUAUUGUGAUCAUUAAACAAUUUAUUGUAACAUUAUUUAUAUUUUUAAAUAUUUAUUUCGUAUUUAAUUGGUAAAAAGAGUGAUAAACUUAAAAAUAUUAAAAAAAUAAAAAAUUAAAAUUUACUGUAACUUAUUAUGUAAAAUUGUAAAUUGAAUUAUUGAAAACGACUUGUUACGAAAAAAAUAUAUUGCAGAACACCAUUAAGAAUUAUAUAAAAAAGUGGAGGGGUUUUUGUUGCACAAGUGACUAGGAUCUCUCCUUGUCACAUGUGAAUUCUUUAUAGUGUGAACACAUUAGAAAUUUAAUAACAUUAUCAUAUAAUCUAUAUAAUAUAUAAAAUCAGCUCCUAAGAGGAGAAAUUAGGGUAAAAGAAAAGGGACAACUUUGGUAUUUUAAUGAAUUUAAGAAGUUAAUCCUGAUAUUUCAAAUAUUUAAUUAACGUUUUUUAUUAAGAUUUUUCCGUAAAAAUUGAGGUUUUUCCAUCAAUUAUUUAAUAUAAAAUUUGCUUAGUUUCGUAAAUAUUAAUCUCCUUAUCUUAUUCUAGUAUUUAUUUAUUUAUUUUAUAUUAUUAAAGUAAAAUCGAUUACAUAGCAUGAUAUAAUAUUAUUUUAUAUGGGUAACAUUUGAAAGUUAAAUGACAAUCAUCUAUUUUUGAUAGUUAGGUAUAAAUUUUGUUAAGUAAACAUUUUUGUCUAAAUUAUAUGCAGAUUAACCGAUAUGAGAGAGUGAAUCACACUCUUAUUUUGCAUGUUACACCCACUACUUUCUUUUAUAUAGCAUUACAAACUUUAUUUUAAUUAUAAUACUACAUUUUUCCAUUAACAUUUAAUGUGUAAUCAUGGUUAUAAAUUUUCUCAUAAAUUCUCUUUACCUAUGAAUAUUUUAAAUAAGAGCGGUAACACCUUCAUUCCUUUUCGUCACCGAAUUGAGUUACGAGAUGCUUAAUAAAUAACAGCAUUGGAACAUGUAAUUUAAUUCAAGUAUUUAUUCAAAAAAAUCUUAAAUCAUGUCUUGCAUACAAAUUUGAACUUAAUUCGAGCUUACGAAAGCUCUAAAAUCAAUUUCAAAACAAACAAGAACUCAUUUAGAACAUUUCAAAAAAGAUUGAGCAAAAGUGUAAAACAGGGUCACACGAGCAUGUGUCCAGGCCGCGUGACGAGUUGAGACCGUGUAAAGCAAUGUCACACGGCCUUAUCAACAAGUCUGUGGACCUAAAUUUAAAAUCUUACAAACAUUCGCACGGUCGUGUUGCCAGGCCAUGUGAGAGAUUGUGACCGUGUUUAACCAAAACCACCUUGAUAAUAUAGAGCACACAACCGUGUCACUUGCCCGUGUGUGCCAAGAUAUGCCUUUUAAAUCAAAUCACACAAUCGAUUCUUACUUGUGCCAUAAACAAGCCUUUAACCAUUCAUUAGACCUGUUCAAAAUGCAUCAAAAUAUACCCAAAAUACAACUUAUAAAACCACCCUAAGUGCCUAACCAAUAUGUCACAAUUGACACCUCAAUUCAACAAUAAACAACAUUUUUCAAUCAAUUCAUCUAUACUUGUACCAACACUUAGCAUUUAAACUACCUAACAUACCAUGUUUUAAAUUCUAAUCUAAUACCAAGAUUCAACUCCAUUUCUUACCAACUAGAAUUAAGUCAUACUUGUGCUUAGCAUGCAAUAUAAGUAACAAUUCCUACCAUGUUAAUGUUGACCAUAAUGCCAACCUAAUAACGUAUCAUUUCACAAUAAACAUAAGCUUAUUUAAUAUACUAUAGCCUCCCAAAAUCAAUCAUCAAAAUACCACACUAUAGUCAUUAACCAAAUCAUAUAUUUCCAAUUAUUUCCAUAUGUAACAUAAUCUAACAGACCAAGUAUCUAUAUUAUUCCAUCACAUACCAAAUUCAAUGAUAACAUUCAAAGAUACUAAUUCAUGUCAUGAUUGACCUGACGUUAAAUGUGGUAGUUAUUUCGGUCUAUUUCCUUUGUUUUCUUACCAAUUUAGUAUUUAUUAUUGCAUUUUGAGUAUUUAGUAGUUAGAAUUAAAAGUUAAUAAAAAUAAGUGUUUUUAACACAUUUUACGAGUGUUGAUGACCUAUUAGGUCGACAUGGGCCUUAGCUAGGGUUAAUUUAUGUAUUUAAGUGUACAAGAGGCUUAAUUUUAGUCCCAAUUGACAUAGGAACUUGGGACGAGUGAUGCACAAGCUUUUCGAGCUGUGAAAGCACGAAAAAAAUUUCUAAAGCCACAAAAAUACUGCCAUGGCAUGACACACAAUGUUUGUGGCGUGACAUGCACCCUAUGUUGAGCCAUAGCUUGAACAUUGGCUAUAAGCAAGGAUGACAUUGGCAACCGUUUUUUGGCAGAUUCUCAUAGAUUUUAUUCUUUACUGGCACCUAAAGUAUCGGGGGCAUAUCGGGCAUAAAGUGUACAUAUUUUAACUUAUAAAUAAGAGGUUUUUAUAGACAAAUUAAGGCAUCAAUCAAUAAAACCAUCCAUCCAUCAAACACAACUUUUGGUUUUCUUUUCUUUUUGUUCGGUCAGAACUUUUCUGUUCUAAUGUAAAGACAAUAGCAAGCAGAGAUUGCUCCGGAUCCGUGCUUCAAUAUAUAUAUUCACGAGCAUUCUCUCUACUCUACUCUACUAUUCUAUUUUAUUCUUUUAUUUAUAUUUUGUUAGCCUGAUCAACUAAUAUUUGUACGAAUAUCAGAAUAAAUCUUGUGCUUUAUUUAUAUCUUGCAUGUUUCGAUUAUUGAACUGAUUAAUUAAUCAAGUCGAUUAGUUAACAAAAGACUAAGGGUUCAUAAUAAGAUUAGUUGAUAUAGAUUACACGUUCCUAAACCCUAGGCUUGAUAACCCUAGGAAGUUAUCAUAGGAGAGAUGAGGUCGGGAGAUAAGUCGAACAGAGUAAAUCAUAGUUUAUCCUGUCGGAGAAAGUGAGGUUGGGAGGUAAAUAAGUAUCCGCUGAUUAAUCAAUUAGUAGAGUCUAGUGUCACGGACUUGGAGUUUUCCCACACAUCCGUGCGGCCUUAGGCAGUUUCUUGGCUUAAAAAUGCCUAAGUCAGCCUAAUUUCCACCAAUAAUGGAUUCAACCGUAAAAACGCCUAAGUUAGCUCAAUUCGCAACAAUAAAGGAUUCAACAGAAUUCCCUUAAAGUUUCCAUGAAGAACAGCGGAAGAACGAAUUAAGAACGAUCUUUGAAAGAUGAACAAAAGCAAGAACGCUUGAGAGAAAAGUUUGAGUAAAUGUUCUCGAUUCUUAUUCACAAAGAAUAAUGAAACAAUUACAGGAGUCAGUACAAAUGAGGGGGAGGCUCUCUAUUUAUAGUUGAGCUCCCCCAAAACCGAUGGCUACAAUUAAAAGCUGUAUUCAAUUAGGACUCUAACUUUACAGAAUUAGAAGCUGUGUACAAUUAGAACUUCUAAGACUACUUAGUCCUAUCUUCAUUAUCGGGCCUAUCAGGCUUCAAUGUGACAGGCCUGUCCAACAGCUCUUUGAAUCGGGCCAGUUCUCGUAGGCCAAAUGAUCCCCAUCUGAGCAACAGACCUCCAUUGGAUGCAUUUGGUGCGCUUGUCACGGGCUUUGAACUGCGGCCCGUGACAUUCUCCCCCACCCAUUCUCGCAACGCCCUCGUUGCGACAUCUGAAUGGCACUGACUUGAUUCACCUCGGUUUCGUCUCGUCGCCUUAGCCUUUCCCUUUCUUAGGGAUUUUUGCCUCGGUUUCUGUUGCUUCUUAACUCGAGCCGUCCUGCUCGUUGCAUUUACUCUGGUCAACUGUCCCACAUGCAACGCUUCUUUUCCUUUGAAGUCUGAUGCACCACCUACCUCUCCCAUAGGUGGAAGCCUUGUCGAUGACUCGGCCAACUCCGAUGCUUCACUCAACUUGAGCCUCAUUGGUCUCAGCUUCACUGUUUUCAUCGCAACUUUCUCCACUAAGUUAGAUGACAAACUCACCUCUUCCUUGGGUGGAAGCCCCUUCGACGACUCACCAAGCUCAGACGUUGCCUUUCUUUCGACUCUGGCUUGCUUUGGACAGUUCCGCAACUCAUGCGGACCACGGCACAAGAAGCACUUAACUUGCUUCUUUUUGCUCCUCUUUGCCCUCUUGGCUUUGGCUUUUCCCUUGCUCGAACCAAGCUUCUUGGGCUCAUUGUCUGCUCCAUCGUUCCCCUCGAUGACAGACUUCUUCGGACACUUCCGCAACCUAUGCGGACCAUGACACAAGAAGCACUCCACUGGCUUCUUCUCGCUUUUGGCCUCUUUGGCUUCGGCACCCCUUGCGCUCGAACCAAGUACCAAGGCCUUACCCACCGGCUUCUCCUUAAGCGCGGAUUUCUUCGGACAUUUCUUUAACAUGUGUGGACCAUCGCAAAGAAAGCAUUUCAGCUUGUCCCUUUUCCUCUUGGGUUUCUUCUUCCCAACUCGUGGUUUCCCAUUACCACCAUUGUCGCCGUUGUCAUUGCCAUUAACUCUAUCUUCCUUGUGAUCCAUUUCACAUACGCCCCUUCCAUCGGACUUGGAAGACCCAAGCUUGUCUUUCCCUAGACCAAGCUUCACCACGGACUCAACUACCAUCAUGGCUUCCGACAGUUUUUGGACACCUCUUUGUUCCACCUCCUGUCUGACCCACGGCUUUAAUCCCUUUUGAAAAGCAAGCAAUGCUUCUUCAUCGGUCACAUCUGAAAUUUGGAGCAUGAGUUCCUUGAACUCUUGAACAUACUCCCUCACUGUGCCCCGUUGCAUUAUCUCUUGCAACUUUGCCCGAGCUUCUUCCUCGGCAAAUUCUGGGUAAAACUGUCCCUUCAACUCGCAUUGGAACUCUUGCCACGUCCCAAUCUCACCUUGCCUUUUAUUUGAGGUCCUACCUCGCCACCAUAAAAGCGCAAUGUCAGUAAGAAACAUUGAAGCAGUGUUUACCUUAACCGCAUCCUCCAUGAUGCCUUUGGCACGGAAGUAGUUUUCCAUCCUCCACAAGAAAUUAUCCACAUCACAUGCAGACCUUGUCCCCACAAACUCUUUCGGCUUUGGGACAUCCUCAUUACUGAGUGCUGCAUUUGCCACUCCUUUCCCCACGGCUGCUUGACACAAGGACAGCUCUCCCUCGAGCUCCUCUAUUCUUGUGCUCAAAGCCUUCGUCGUGGCCAUUGUUUCCUCCUUCAAAGCCAUCAUCAUGGCCUCGAGAGCAUCAUUCCUUUCCGACAGCUUAUCCCUGUGUGAAUUAAACAACUCGUUUACCUUGUCCAUGGUGGAACCAAGAGACAUCUUUACAUAGUCUCUGGACUGCUCCUUCCAGUUUGCUAUGUGAUCCUCGACCCCAUCGAGUGCCUCCUUUACAUCCUCUAUGGAUCCCUCGAGUUUACCCACACGUUCCUCUACUGCCGAUAUUGUCUCCUUCAAAGACUUCCUCGCCCACCUUUGUUCGAACUCUUCUCUCGACAUCCCCACGGUGCCUUUGAACCAACAACUCGAAUAUUACUUGGUUCAAACCUUGGCUCGGAUACCACUUUGUCACGGACUUGGAGUUUUCCCACACAUCCGUGCGGCCUUAGGCAGUUUCUUGGCUUAAAAAUGCCUAAGUCAGCCUAAUUUCCACCAAUAAUGGAUUCAACCGUAAAAACGCCUAAGUUAGCUCAAUUCGCAACAAUAAAGGAUUCAACAGAAUUCCCUUAAAGUUUCCAUGAAGAACAGCGGAAGAACGAAUUAAGAACGAUCUUUGAAAGAUGAACAAAAGCAAGAACGCUUGAGAGAAAAGUUUGAGUAAAUGUUCUCGAUUCUUAUUCACAAAGAAUAAUGAAACAAUUACAGGAGUCAGUACAAAUGAGGGGGAGGCUCUCUAUUUAUAGUUGAGCUCCCCCAAAACCGAUGGCUACAAUUAAAAGCUGUAUUCAAUUAGGACUCUAACUUUACAGAAUUAGAAGCUGUGUACAAUUAGAACUUCUAAGACUACUUAGUCCUAUCUUCAUUAUCGGGCCUAUCAGGCUUCAAUGUGACAGGCCUGUCCAACAGCUCUUUGAAUCGGGCCAGUUCUCGUAGGCCAAAUGAUCCCCAUCUGAGCAACAGACCUCCAUUGGAUGCAUUUGGUGCGCUUGUCACGGGCUUUGAACUGCGGCCCGUGACACUAGGAGGUAAUACUAGUUAUUAAUAGCUAAUUCAUAUUAAAACCCGAAUUUUGAAAUUAGUUAAUCUUUUAUUUAUCAAUUAGGGAUUUAGCCGAUCAUAAGUUCACGUUUUCAACACUAGGAAUAGGAACUACACAUCGAUAUAAACUACGCCGAUAAAGUACAAACUUAAGAAUGGAAAUGACUUUGUGUAUGCACAUAUCUUACAUGUUCUAUUGAGUGUAUAAUUUGGUUGAUAAUUUAAAGGGUAAGUGGUCAUAUAAAUGAAUUGGUAAGUGAACUAUAGAAUAUUAGUUAAAGAUUUCAUUAUGGUUACUCUUUAUUUAAUUUCAUUGAAUAUAAUGUUGGUUAAUUUAAAUUUUAAGUUUAAUUCUUGAUGUAUUUGCUAAGUUUUUAAUUCUUGAUGUAUUUGCUAAGUUUUUGUAAGCUUAACGCGCUAUUUUUCAACGCGUAGGUAAAAACUCGAGUUAAAUCUCUAAAACAAAGAUACCUUAUCAACUCAUCACAUCCUAAAGCUCAAAAGAGAGUAUGAUUUUGAUCUUUUGGUUAUAAAUUAUGGCAUGCAUAUAGUUUGAUGCAAAGCAUAUCUUGAUCAUUUUGUUAACCAUACAAACUUAGUUAAAUUUUGAUUGAGUUAUAUGUGGAAUCAUAUUGUAACAGCCCGUUUUUUAGUAGUGCCGAAAAUAAUGGUUUCGGGGCCACAAAUCCGACGAGUAAGUUUGUAAAUAUUAUUAUUUAAUAUUUCGUGUCAAAUAUGGUUUUAAAAAGGUUUUUGAUAUGGUAAUUUAUAUUAUAUAAAUGAUUAAUUAAGUUCAAGUGGUAAUAGCCUAAAGUCAAGUGAUUUUAGAAAAUAAGGUAUCGGGACGUCGUUUCCAUAAAAUGAGCUGUAAAUAUUUUUAUUUAUGGGGUGUCAUUAAGAUUGUAUUAAAUUUUAGUUAAGAAAUUUUAAUGUUUUGAUAGUUAAUUAAUUAAAAAGGACUAAAUUAUAAAAAGUGUAAAAGUUGAAUUCUACUAACUAGAGAUGUUUAAUAGCUAAUAAAAAGUAAAUUUAUGGACUAAUAUGGUAAAUAUACCAUAUUAUAGUUGAGUGGGCGGUUGGUGAUUAUUUUUGUUAGUUUAUAUGAUAUAUUUUGAUAUUAAUAAAUUAAAUAAUAAGUAUUAAUUAAGAAAAAGAAAAAGAAAAAGAAAAAACAAAACAUAAUUUUGUUUUGUGUUCUUCUUCUUUGACGAGAAGAACUCCAUUUUUGGAGAAACCAGAUUUGACCAAUCCAUUUUCUAUGCAUGAGGGAGAUUUUGAGAUCAAGAUUGAGUGGAAAAUCGAGAAGAAUGGAAAAUUAUCAAAAAGUUGUUAUACUUCGACAUUUUUGCUAUUUGGCCAAAUAAGUUCAUACGGUUAGAAUUUAACAUAAAUAAGAAUUAAGUAGAUUAACAUGGUACAACUUAAAUAUUUAUUUCUAAUUGUUGAUAAUUAAUGGUAAUUUGAGAUAUAAUAUUAAAUUUGAUGUUCGGUUUGAAUUGAAUGCAGGAUAAAGUACAAUCGUUAUUUGGUGUGUUGCGGGGGUUUGGAGUGGAGAUAGUAGUGGAGGGAGAUAUCUGUAUAUUACCCGAGUAAGCCAAAGUUCAGCAUUUGUUGCGGACUCUCAUGUUAUAUUCUCUAUUUCGCAUGUUUUGAUUGGAUCAGCUCUUAUGAGCUUCUGUUUAGCGUGUUUCAGUUAGAUCAACUCUUAUGAGCUUUUGUUUGGUGUGUUUGAGUUGGAUAAGCUCUUAUGAGCUUCUGUUUGGCGUGUUUCAGUUGGAUUAGCUCUUAUGAGCUUCUGUUUGGCAUGUUUCGGUUGGAUCAGCUCUUAUGAGCUUCUGUUUGGUGUGCUUCGAUUGGAUCAACUCUUAUGAGCUUCUAUUUGGCGUGUUUCGGUUGGCUCAGCUCUUAUGAGCCUCUGUUUGGUGUGUUUCGGUUGGAUAAACUCUUAUGAGCCUCUGUUUGGCAUGUUUCGAUUGGAUCAGCUCUUAUGAGCCUCUGUUUGGCGUGUUUCGGUUGGAUCAGCUCUUAUGAGCUUCUGUUUGGCGUGUUUCAGUUGGAUCAGAUUUUAUGAGCUUCUGUUUGGUGUGUUUCGAUUGGAUCAACUCUUAUGAUCUUCUGUUUGGCGUGCUUCGGUUGGAUAAACUCUUAUGAGCUUCUGUUUGACGUGUUUCUGUUGGAUCAACUCUUAUGAGCCUCUGUUUGGCGUGUUUCUAUUGGAUCAGCUAUUAUGAGCUUUUGUUUAGCGUGUUUCGGUUGGAUUAGCUCUUAUGAGCUUCUAUCUGGUGUGUUCGGUUGAUCUGACGAUGUAUUCUUAUCUGUAAGUUGUUCUUCGAAUAGAAAAUCUUGGUAAGGUAAUCUGUUUAAUGAAUUUGAAAGAUUUGUUAUUUAUUGAAUAUUGAUCUGAACAUAGAUGAAUUCAUCUGACUGUAAAUCUCGGUAAGGUAACUUGUUUAUUGAUUUUGAUGGAAUUACCAUAUAUUUAAGCUUGAUUUGAAUGUUUCAAUUCUCCAGUUGAGAUUGUGGAUGACAGGAACACAUAUGGUUAAUUUUUGUGUUUAUACUUUGUACUAUGCAAAUGAAAAGAUAUAAUUUCUUAUGAAAUGAUUUAUCAUGUACUUGAUCCCAAAAGAGUUGUGUAUAAAUGUACUAACUUGUGUAUAGAUGAUGACAAUUAGGCUUAUAUCAAGCUCGUGGUUAUGGUCGAUAUUUAUGUUUAUGUCUUGUGUUUUGCAAAUGAAAUGAGUAAGAAAAGGUAAUGAAAUGGUAAGUUCAUAAUUGAAAUGUAAUGUGAUAAGAUAAAAGGAUUGAUGAAUUAAAUGACUUAUCUAUAUGUGAGAAAUUUACUUACACUGAAGGUGAAUUUACCUAUGUCAUGAAUAAUCAUACUAAUUCAUGGAUUGAUAAUGUAAUUAAGCUCAUGCUAAGUAAACGGAACUGAAAGUAAGUAAGUGGAAUGAUUCAUCAUUUUAAGAAAAGAUUGAUGAUUAUGCAGUACAACUUAUAAGAUUUUAUUAUAUUAUGAAUAGAAAGUAUAUGUGAGUUGAUAGUUUUAUAGUUUGAUAAAUCUUGUGGCAUUGGUAAAGCCUUACGUUUGUCGUAUAAAUUUCAUAUAUAUGAUGAAAUGUUAUGUUUAAUAUUCAUACGAGCUUACUAAGCAUUCAUUGCUUACGUAAUUAUUUUCCUUUAAUUUACAGAUUAUCGGAAGCUCAGUCGGGUUGGAAGCUUGUCGGAGAUCUAUUACACUAUCCAAUGAUUAUAUCGGUAGUUUUUGAUGUUUUGAUCAAGGUUAUAAUGACAUGUUUAGGAGGACUUGUGUUUGAUGAACUAGUUGUUAUGUUUGGCUUGUAAAUAUGGUAAUAUGGUUGGUGUGCUUUUGGCAUUUGAUGCCUUGAUGGUUGGUGUUUUUAUUGCCAAAAUGAUGUAUGGGUUAAAUGGCUAAAGUGGUAUGUGUUGGCAUGGUUGAAAUGUGGUCAAUUAGGUUAUGUGUUGAUAUGGAAUUUAGUUAAGGUUGUUUGGAUGAAACAUGAUCUUUUUGAUGCAAAUGUAAGUAUGAAUGCUUGGUUGUGAUUGAGGUGACUAAAUGGCAUAUUGGUUGAAUGGCAUAUAUUGAUUGUAACACCCCUUAAACCUUAUCCGUCCACGAAACAGGAUUACAGGGCAUUACCAGUUAAUACAGUUCAUUUACCGUUAUUAAUUAAAAUAAUUAUUUACACUUAUCACAAAUUUAAUAAAUUAUCAAAUAAUUCAAAUUUACACCAAUUAAGCCAAAUCCUAUUAUAUACUAGAGGUGUACAUGGGCCGGGCGGCCCGGCCCGGCCCGAAGGUUCGCCCGAAAAAUGAGAAGGUUUGGGUAAAAAUAUAGGCCCGAAUAAUGGGCUUGGACAAAAAACGAGGCCCGUUUAGAAAACGGGCCGGGCCCAGAGUAAGAUUUUUUUGGCCCGGGCUCGGCCCGGCCCGAUUUUAAUAUUAAAUUAUUUUUUAAAUUUUUUAUUUUUAAUUUUAAGUAACUUUAGUACUUUAACUUUACUCUUUUUGUUGUUUUUAAUGUUAUUUUGAUAUUGUAAAACUUUUGUUAUUAAUAUAAUUUGGUUCAAUUUUUCAAUUUUAAUAUAAUUACUUUUUAUUAUAUUUUUAAUUUAUGUAUUAUUUUAAAAUUUAUUUUAGUCUCAUUUUUUUAUUUGUUUUUUAUUUUAAUAUUUGUUUUUAUGUUUUUAAAUUCUUUUAUUUAAUAAAAAAAGCAAAAAAAAAUUAAUAUGGCCGGACCGGGCUCGGGCCUACUAUUUUUUUCUCGGACCGGGCUUGGACAAAUUUCUAGGCCCAUAUUUCGGGCCGGGCCGGGCCCAGACCUUAAAAACGGGUAAAUUUUUUUUAUGGACCCGGCCCGAAUCCGGCCCAGCCCAGCCCAUGCACACCUCUAUUAUAUACCAUUACCAAACCUAAUUCUAAAUAUUUCAUCAACACAUUGACAAUUCAAAAUACACACACGUAAAAUACAUAAAAUAUCCUAGGUAGAUGCCAUUACCAACUAUUAACACGCUUUACCUCACUGAAUUCAGGACCGGCCUGGGAUCCUGAUUCCACGUUCUAGCUUUAACUUAACCUGCGCACGGAAACAAACUGUACGCUGAGCAUGAACUCAGUGAUAUUUCUAUAAUCCGAACACUUAAUGAAAUGAAAAUUUAUAACAAACACUUAAAAUUAUAUACAAUUACAAUUAUUCAAUUAUUUAAUUCAUAGAUAAAUUCUUUAUAACUUAUUCCAUUCUUUUCACUUACUAAUUUGUUUAGCUUUCUAUGAUUUAUUCACAAGUCAUUUAAACAAUAAUAUUAUUCACUUUUAUCCAAUUCAAAUGUAUAUAAUUCAUUUGUCUCAGUCAUACUUUAGUUCACUAUUUAAUAUCAAUAAACUAUAUUCAACUAUUCACUUCUCAAUCAGUGUUUUGUACUUAUCCAUUUCAAUAACAGUCAGUAUUUUUCGGUAACGGUCAAUUGAUCUUUAUUAUUCAGUAACAAUCAAUCAUUAGAGAAAUCAGUCAUUCAGUAUUUUUAUUUAUCCCUAUUUACAUGACUCGGACAUUGACAGAUACACAGAUUCCAACCCAAAACACUAGUAUGACACAUUGUGCCUAAACAGUACAUAAUACCUGAUCAAUAUACGACACAUAAGUGCCUGAAAUGACACACGAGGUGCCUGAUACGACACAUAAAGUGCCUGAUUGGCAAAGCCGAUAAAUCCCGUACCCUUCCAAAUCCUAUGGCAUGCCAAUUAUAUCCGACUCAGCCUGACUAGUUAAUAGGGUAUUGCAUAUUACUUUUCGAUUUCAAUUUCAUUCUCAAUUUAAUUACAACUCAAUUCAAUAUAAUUCAAUUCACUUUUCAAUAACAAAUAUUCGAUUUCACAAUAGUCACUUAUUCAUACUAAUUUCAUCACAUUUCUAACAAAUAUAUUUUCCAACAUAACGUACAUUCAAUAUUCAAUUUCCACAUCAAUCACAUAUAUUCAUAUAAAUUUAAUAAAUUUAUCACUUACUAAAUCAAUUCAUUUCAAUUAUAAAGACACAAUACAAAUAAUUCUCAUCUUAAUUAUUUAUCAUAACAUUUACCCAAAAUUCAAUUAUCAUAAUUGCACAAUAUCAUAUUCACACACACACACACAUAUAUAUAUUUAUAAUAUAUAAUUCAAUUUAAUUCAAUCAAUAUAAAUUCAUCACAUACCAAAUUAAUCCAUUGCCAUUAUAAACACAAUAAUACUCACCUCAACAUUUACUAAAUGCAUUGAAUAAAAAAAUAUAACAAUUAAUAACUAGGUUUGGAUUAUAGAAAUACAAACCGUAAUUUCCGAGCUAACCCUUGUCGACUUUACCUUUUUCUUGCUUACCCGAGAUUUCCGGCACAAUGUUAGCUACAAAAAUUAAAACAAUUUAAAAUUCAUCAAUAUACAAUUUCAUUUUAUUUAUUCCAAUUUGAACUCAAUAUUUACAUAACUUCUAAUUUAAUCCCAAUUCAAACUAACUUGUUUUCUUUGCAAUUUAUUCUCUAUUUUUCACUCAACUAUCACUUAAAGCCAAAUUUCAACUCUCUAAUUUCUCCAUAAAUACAUAAUUUUGAAUUUCUUUCAAUUUAGUCCCUAAAGCAUGAAACUUAUGAAUUCAAUCCUUAUUUCACUUCUAACUUGAAUUUCUAUCAAUUUAAUUCCUAAUUUAUCAUUUUAUUCAACAUGAACCAUAUUUAGAAAUUUAAUAUCUUCCAAAAUAUCAACUUAAUUCCAUCAAAACCUUAUUCCAAGGCUUUUAAAACAUCAAAAUUAAGUAAAAAGGGCUAAAUUGACUUAUCUAUUUAGACUUCAAGCUUCAAACCCUCAAAUUUCCCUUUUCUUCAUUCCGUUCUUUCUUUUUUUCCUUCCUUCUCUAUUUCGUUUCUUCUAUUCUGUUUCUUUCCUUUCCUUUUUUUCCUUUCUUUUAUUUUCAUUAAAUUAUUAUAUAUAUAUUAUUUAUACUUAAAUUAGUAAUACUUAUUUAUUAUUUAUAUAUGUAUAUAUUAUUAGUACAUAUGUAUCCAUUUAUAACCAUACAUUUGUCAUAAUUUAAUUUAUUUGUUACAUAAAAAUCUUAUAAUAUAAUUAUUUGAUUAAUAAAUAUCUUUUACUUAAUAAUUAUCUAUUUAAUAACUAAAUACAAGUAUUACAAAUGUAUGUAUUUUUAUUAAUGCACUUGUAUCUAAUUAUCAUCACACAUUUGUCUUUCUUUAAUUCAUUCAUUCAUUUACUUUAUUUAAUUAAUAUACAAUAAUAAUUUUAAUAUAAUAAUAUUUACUUAAAUAAUAAGUAAAUACAUACAUGUAUUACAAAUGUAUUCUAAUAUUUAUUACACAUGUAUAUUUUUAUUACCACACAUUUGUCACUAUUUUAAUUUAUUUAAUAAUAUAAUAAUUUAAUAUCAAUUAAAUGAUAAUAAUAACCAUAAUAGUAAUAAAUUAAUUAUUGUAAGAAAAAUCUUAGAUUUUUCUAUCUUUUGCCGCCUAAAUUAGGACAAAUGGCAUAAUUACCAUUUUGAUCCUUUACAUUUUCUUUUAAUCUAUAAUUCAACUUUCACACUUUAUUCAAUUUAAUCUUUAUACCUAUUUAGCCUCAAUUUAAGCUAAUUCAUCUUAUUAAACUCUAAUUAAUCACUCAAUUAACUUCGUAAAUAUUUUUAAUAAAUAUUUACGAAUCCAUUUUUCAGAAACAAAGACCCGAAAAUAAACUUUUUCGAUAACCGUAAAAUUCGAGUCGUUACAGAAAUGAUCUUAUUAUGCAUAUUUUGGCAUGUUUUGGUGCCUUGAUCAUAGGUUCAUUUGGUGUGUUGGUACUUGUUGAAAUUGGGUGAAAGAAAAGGCUUGAUUUUGGCCUAUUUCUUGUCCACACGGCCUAAAACACGGAUGUAUGUCUCAACUGUAUGUGACACACGACUAGGCGACACGGCCGUGUGUCCCUUUUAGGUUGUUAAUGGUUGCUUUUUGAAAGUUGCAUGACCUAGCACACGGCCUGUCACACGGGCGUGUGGUGCCAUUUCGAGAGUUACAUGGCCUGUCACACAGGCAUGUAGUUUGGCCGUGUGACCCAAGUCAAUGAGUAACAAGGGCACAAACAUAGGCUAGGAUACGAUCGUGUGUUCCUAUUUCGAAUGUUACAUGGCCCGAGACAUGGAUGUGUGUCUUAGCUGUGUGAGCCACACGGCUUGGUCACACAGCCAUGUAACCUCUGCAGUGUAAAUUUUUCUAAUUUUUUCCUAAACUUUCUAAAUGUUUUUGAUUUAGUCCCGGAUUGUUUCUAUUGUAUUUUUUGGGCCUUGAGGGCUCAAUUAAGGGACGUUAUGAAUGUAUUUGAAUGAAAUUAGAAUAUGUAUUGCAUUGAUAUAUGAAUUAAAUAGUUUACUAUUUCAUUUGUUCGAUAAUGCUCCAUAACCUUAUUGCGGCAACAGAUAUGGGUUAGAGGUGUUACACAUAUGAUGUUUUAAUGGAAAUUUAUGUUUUAUAAUGUUUAAAUGUGAUAUGAAAUGAUUGAUGAUAGUUGGACUUGGUUUUAGAGGUUUCAAACAUGUUUUGGGUAAUUUAUCUUCAGUGUCACAACAUCAAAAAUCAAUGUCACGACAUUGGACAUGUAAUUAGAGUAAUUUUUUCCGAUGUUGCAACAUCAACAUCCUAGUGUUGCAAAAUUGACCCUAUUUUGACCCGAAUAAGCCUCAUUUGGUCUUCGUUUGUAACCAAACUUUAAAGAAAUCCUAGAAAUGACUUGAAUAACCUUAAAAGAGUCUACUUUUGUUACAAAAAAAGUUUUAAAAUUGAUGUUCGAGUUGAGUAGCUUUAGUUUCCAAAUGUGACAUCCCUUACUCGUGAUGUAUUGGUUCACUCUGGGUGAGGGGUGUUACAUCUACGAUCUCGUCACUUCGCCUUUUAACGACCUUUAACACUUGUUCUACUGUCAGCCUCCCUACCUCGAUUUCCUCUAAUCAUUUUUGCUAACAGUAUACUAAAAUAAACCCUAAAACCUACCAUAGAAGAAUCAAACUUACCAAAAAUAGGAACUACACAUCGAUAUAAACUACGCCGGUGAAGUACAAACUCAAGAAUGGAAAGUUUAAACUUUAAAAACUUAAGAAAAUUUUCAGAUCUAGUAAUGAAUAAUAGACUCUAAAACCCAAAGAUUUAUAGACUUUUUGGUCUAACGAAGCUUCUUGAACACUCCAUUUCAGAAUCCAAAAUGAACGCUACAUCUAGUAAUUUCAAACAUUUAAUGACAGAUAACAAUUGGAAGGAUUUCUCGAUAAAGUGUUGUAACACACAAUCAUUAAUGCGCGUAUAUGCAUGUGCAUGUCCUGAAGCAACAUGGACUACACGUGCAUCCAACGCAGAAACCCUAUCAUUCCAAAUUUCAGCCAUUGCAUGUUAUUUCCCCUAAAAUACCUCAAAGCACUAAAUGCCUAUAACGUAUUGAGACAGACCACUAUAUAACCUCUCUCUUGGUUUGGGGGAGAGAAAUUGUUAUACGCUAACACCUUGAUGCAGCUCUCAGCUUAACACUUAUAAGAGCACCACUUAUUAACCACCAUCCAUGCCUUCAACCAUCACGUUCCAUGAGAUAAUUGAAAGUAUGUCCAAUUGCCACCCUACCCAGGCUUAUAGUGGCAAACCACUUGGCCACUUGCCUCUGACUCUUAUAGAAGCUUGACACAUGAGACCUUCUCUCUCUCUCUCUCUCUCUUUCUCUCUCUCUCUUUAGAUUGAGUCUUGGACAAAUUAUUUUUAUCUCGAGGAUGACUUGCCUUAGCCCAAUUUUACAUUUAUUUAAUAUAUUUAUUGACAUGGAUAUAAAAUUAUAAAACCAUUAAAGCCAAAUCCAUAUCUUCCCUACAACCAUUAAAGUCAAGACCACUAAGUUAAAGCCGAAAGCCAUAUUUACAAAAAGACUAAAUCUGUCCAUUAAAUUGAAAUUUCAUCAUUUCUUUUGGGUAGAAAACCCCAAAAAAUUUGUGUUAUUCUUCUGUUUUCAAUUUCUCAAUCCAAUCAUAUUUGCUUCAUGUCUUGCAUUCAACUAAAUUCAGCGGAUCUAUAAUUCUCCACUCCUCUUCUUGUUGUUACCCAUUAAAAACAUGCCCUACAUUUUGUUUACCUAUGUUUAGGAAUACUUCUCAAAAAUAUUUUUGGAAACACUUUUGUUACUCCGACUUUUCAUUUUUCUUAACGCUUUUGUGCUCAUAAUCAUGUUCAAUGCAUGAUUCUCCAAAAGAAACACUCUUAAGACAGGAAAAUCUUGGAAAACCUUCAAUAUAUCUUUGCCCAAUACAUCAAAUAGAUGGCUUGAGACAGUGAUUCAAAGAGUCUAAGAAAAUCUGGGCAGGCCGGGUUAAACGCAAAAAACACUAAUAUUGUUUGGGCAGAUGGUCCCUUUGGAUGGACGUUUACUUCCAGUGCUAUGUGUUUAGCUUUAUUUUUUAUCUUAUGCUACAAUAUCGUUACAUUAUCUAAUCUUAUCGUCACUGUUUUUAUUUUAUUUUAUUUUACACUAAUCGUUGGUAAAUAUAUCGCCCAUCUAAAAGAACCCUAAGUUUAGGUAAAAUUCUCAACCUAUUUUUCGAAUCAGGUCUAUGUUCUACAUAUUUAAAAAUAUCUUAUCUCAACCUGGUCUGAAUUUAUUAAGUAAGAAACAAAAUUUCUACAUAUAUUUAAUAAUAACUCUUUGUUACUUCAAAAGAAAAAUAGUAAUAAACUCUCUAUGUAGCCUCGAAUGUUUAUAUUUUUUAUAUACAAAAUUUUUAAAAAAUUGCCAUUGUCUAACUUUAAGGAAAAAAAAGAAAAAAAUUAAAAUUUAGGGAUUUCAUUCCAGAUAAGUUAUACUUAAAUUUAUUAAAUUAUUAGUAAAUUUACGUUUUAGUCACUCAACUUCAAAAAGUUAUAAAUGAGCAUUGAUCUAUUUGAAAGUUUCUAUUUAAGUAACUAAAUUGUUAAAAUCACAACUGUAUGUGCCUUUUUUGUUCACAUUGCCUACACCAAUCGAAAUCAAUCAUUCCCACUAAUUUUUAAAGUUUAGUUUUUUUUCGUGAAAUAGCUAAAAUGUCACGAACUUGUAUAUCAAAAUCCAAAUAAUUUUAUUCUCCAAUCUCCAACAUUAGCUACUAGACCAACUUGGAUAUAAUGUUUGCUAUUUUAUUCAUCGAUGAGUAUUAAUCUAUCAUUAAAUUGAUACUUGAAGCUUGUUAGUUGGACAUUUGAAAAAGAGAACUUAACUAUCAAGUUAUUAAAAACUUUUCUAAUAGUUCAACGACUUAAAUAAAAAUUUUAAAAUGAUUUAAAGACUAUUUUAUAUAUUUUUUAAAAUUAAAGGACCAAAAUAUAAAUUUGGAAUAGUUUAGCCUUUCAAUAUUUGAAGAAAUUACUAGAAAAAGCGAAGAAUAAAACGGAAGAGAGGUUUUUCUUUAGGCCGAAAAAAAACAGAGUUCAAGACCAAUAUUUUGGUCCUAACUUAAAAAAUAAAGAGUCUUAAGCGAACACAGCCAACGUCAACUUCACUUAUAGGGUUUUUAAUUUUCUCUCAUAUUUUCCAGGUAACCUUUUAUUUUUCCUCCUGCCCAAACAGUCCUUUAACUUCAGUUUUUUUUUCUUCAACUUUCAUCUGACUUCUCUAAAAUCUGAUUAACUCUUCAGUUUCUCUGGAAAAUCUGUUUCCUUUCUGUUAUCAUUAUUACAUUAUUAGUUUAUUCUGCUUGCAUUCGUUUUUUACUUUGAUUUUGAUUUCUUUUAAUAAUUUUGUUGGUUUCCGUGUGGAUGAAUAUGCUAUAAUCGGUCAAAAGUUUGGCUUUUUUUCAAGCUUUAAAUUUUGUUUCCAAGAAAUAUCGAUUUGAUCUGUUUGAAGGAAGUGAGGAGAAUUUAUGCUUUUGGACUUAAUUUCUAUUGUUGUUACGCUUAAGAAGUUCUGAUUUUGAUUAAGAUUGUACAUUGGUUACUUUAAUUGUUAAUGUUAAGACGGUUGAAUUUAAUUGUUUUUUUAUUCAGUUAUAAGCAUUUGAUCAAUUAUACUGUUUAGAAAUUUUUUAUAACCUUGUUCUAGGCUAAUUUUAUUUGAGCAUAAAUUCAAAGUUUUUAAGUAUUUUGGUAAACUUGAACUAUCAAAGCUAUCACUUUUAUGGAUACUAGAUUAAGAAUAUUACUGAAAUUAGAUUAUAAAUUCAACACUUUUAUUCAUUUUCUUGUAUUUGAGCUAUGAGUGUUGUUGAAUUUUCAUAUAUGCAACCUUUUUUUUUCUUUAAAAUAUAUAUGUUAAAUAGGUUUCUAAUUGGUGAAGUAAGAAUGUAGCGAGUGUUGAUAGAGUUCUGAGUGUGGAGGUACGUUACAAUCUUUGAGAAUUGUUGGCUCAUAAAUUUUGUUGAUUGAUAGAUAUGGGGUGGCUUAGAGCUGGGUCAAGUGUGGCAAAGCUUGCCAUUAGGAGGACUUUGUCUCAGGGUGGAUCAUAUGCUACAAGAUCACGCAUUGUUCCUUCACAGAGUCGAUAUUUUCACACCACUGUCUUUAAAUCAAAGGCACAGACUGCUCCCGUUCCUCGCCCUGUUCCACUUUCUAAGCUAACUGAUAGUUUCUUAGAUGGAACCAGUAGUGUAUACUUAGAGGAGCUUCAAAGGGCCUGGGAAGCUGACCCAGAUAGUGUUGAUGAGUCGUGGGACAAUUUCUUCAGGAAUUUUGUUGGUCAGGCUGCCACAUCUCCAGGAAUUUCGGGCCAGACCAUUCAGGAGAGUAUGCGAUUGUUAUUACUUGUGAGGGCUUACCAGGUUAAUGGUCACAUGAAAGCGAAGCUGGAUCCGCUGGGUUUAGAGGAAAGGGAAAUCCCUGAUGAUUUGGAUCCAGCUUUUUAUGGUUUUACUGAAGCUGAUCUUGAUAGAGAAUUCUUUCUAGGUGUGUGGAGGAUGGCUGGAUUUUUAUCAGAAAACCGACCCGUGCAGACACUUAGGUCGAUUUUGACUCGGCUUGAGCAGGCUUACUGUGGAAGCAUUGGGUUUGAAUACAUGCACAUUGCUGAGCGUGACAAGUGCAACUGGUUGAGAGACAAGAUUGAAACUCCAACACCAAUGCAGUACAAUCGCCAGCGGCGCGAAGUCAUUCUUGAUAGGCUUAUAUGGAGUACACAGUUUGAAAAUUUCUUGGCUACCAAGUGGACAACAGCCAAGAGGUUUGGGCUAGAAGGGGGUGAAACUUUAAUUCCUGGAAUGAAAGAGAUGUUUGAUAGGGCUGCAGAUCUAGGGGUUGAAAGCAUCGUAAUUGGAAUGCCUCAUAGAGGAAGAUUGAAUGUGCUAGGUAAUGUUGUCCGAAAACCACUUCGUCAAAUAUUUAGUGAGUUCAGUGGUGGUACAAGGCCUGUGGAUGAAGUUGGGCUUUACACAGGAACUGGUGAUGUUAAAUAUCACUUGGGAACUUCCUAUGAUCGACCAACAAGAGGUGGAAAGAGAAUUCAUUUGUCUUUAGUUGCUAACCCCAGUCACUUGGAGGCUGUGGACCCAGUUGUUGUCGGAAAAACUAGAGCAAAGCAGUAUUACUCCAAUGAUGAGGAUAGGACCAAGAACAUGGCUGUUUUGAUUCAUGGAGAUGGCAGCUUUGCUGGACAGGGUGUAGUCUAUGAAACUCUUCAUCUUAGUGCACUUCCAAACUACACUACUGGUGGAACUAUACAUAUUGUAGUCAACAACCAAGUGGCAUUUACAACUGAUCCAAGGGCAGGCAGAUCUUCACAGUAUUGUACUGAUGUUGCCAAAGCUUUGAAUGCUCCCAUUUUCCACGUAAAUGGAGAUGAUGUUGAGGCAGUUGUCCAUGCAUGUGAACUUGCGGCUGAAUGGCGCCAAGCCUUCCAUUCAGAUGUGGUGGUUGAUUUGGUCUGCUACCGUAGAUUUGGGCAUAAUGAGAUUGACGAACCAUCAUUUACACAGCCAAAGAUGUAUAAGGUCUGCAGCCUAUUUACCUUUUUGGCUAUUUAUUUCCCCAUUAGGCAUAUCUUAGUUGGUCCUACCCUUUUUUUUUUUUUGUUUUUUUGUUUUUUAAUAUGUUCCUGAGAAAUUACUUGAACUUCACAUAUGUAAAUUCUUCCGUUUUUUUUUCAACAGAUUAUUCGGAAUCACCCCUCAGCACUUCAGAUCUACCGAAACAAGUUGUUGGAGUCUGGUCAGGUGACAGAUGAAGACAUUGGUAAUAUAAGUCAGAAGGUCAGUACAAUUCUUAAUGAAGAAUUCUUAGGCAGCAAAGAUUAUGUUCCCAAAAGACGGGACUGGCUUUCUGCUUACUGGACGGGAUUCAAGUCACCUGAACAAAUUUCACGUGUUCGGAACACUGGGUAUUUUGGCUUCUUUGUCAAUUUCAACUUUCAUUUUGGUAUCUCUUACUUAUACUUGCUGAUGAAACUUGCAUGUUAUGCAGGGUUAAACCCGAGAUAUUGAAGAAUGUU
rnacentral:lncRNA from 1 species